GUGAACGCUGGCGGUAGGCCUAACACAUGCAAGUCGAACGGCAGCACAGUAAGAGCUUGCUCUUACGGGUGGCGAGUGGCGGACGGGUGAGGAAUACAUCGGAAUCUACUUUUUCGUGGGGGAUAACGUAGGGAAACUUACGCUAAUACCGCAUACGACCUACGGGUGAAAGCAGGGGAUCUUCGGACCUUGCGCGACUGAAUGAGCCGAUGUUGGAUUAGCUAGUUGGCGGGGUAAAGGCCCACCAAGGCGACGAUCCGUAGCUGGUCUGAGAGGAUGAUCAGCCACACUGGAACUGAGACACGGUCCAGACUCCUACGGGAGGCAGCAGUGGGGAAUAUUGGACAAUGGGCGCAAGCCUGAUCCAGCCAUACCGCGUGGGUGAAGAAGGCCUUCGGGUUGUAAAGCCCUUUUGUUGGGAAAGAAAAGCAGCAGGUUAAUACCCCGCUGUUCUGACGGUACCCAAAGAAUAAGCACCGGCUAACUUCGUG
rnacentral:rRNA from 1 species